rnacentral:rRNA from 1 species
UACGAAGGGUGCGAGCGUUAAUCGGAAUUACUGGGCGUAAAGCGUGCGUAGGUGGCUUGUUAAGUCGAAUGUGAAAGCCCCGGGCUCAACCCGGGAACUGCGUCCGAUACUGGAAGGCUUGAAUCCGGGAGAGGGAUGCGGAAUUCCAGGUGUAGCGGUGAAAUGCGUAGAUAUCUGGAGGAACACCGGUGGCGAAGGCGGCAUCCUGGACCGGUAUUGACGCUGAGGCGCGAAAGCCAGGGGAGCAAACGGG